GUACCAUAGAGUAGAACCAGCCCAGGAGAAAGAAGUUUGCUGCAGUCAACAACGAUGAAAAAGGAGUUAGCAAUUUGAAAACUGCUUUGACAUCAGUCAUGGAGAUGCAGAGUUUGGAGUUUGCCCAGAUUGUUUCCUGCCUUGCUUUGGCUUUUGGUAUCAGAGUAACUAUGGCUUCAUAAAAUGAAUUCACAUUGAUCUAGGGAAAAAAAAUUCCUGAACAGAACACCAAUGGCUCAGACUCUAAGAUCAACUAUUGAUAAAUUGGAUCUCAUGAAACUAAAAAAAAGAUUCUGUAAGGCAAAGGACACUGUCAAUAGAAGAAAAGAGCAGCCUACAGAUUGGGAAAAGAUCUUCACUAACUCUACAUCUAAUAGGGCUAAUAUCCAAAAUAUAUAAAGAACUCAAGAAGUUACACUCCAAAAAGCCUAAUAACCCAACUAAAAAAUGGGCUGCAGAGGUAAACAGAGAAUUCUCACCCAAGGAAUCUUGAUUGGUGCAGAAACACUUAAUGAAUGUUCACCAUCCUUAAACAUCAGCAAAAUGCAAAUCAAAACAACACUGAUAUUCGGCCUCACACCAAUCAGAAGUGCUAAGAUCAAAAACUCAAGUGACAGCAUAUGAUGGAGACGAGGUACAAAAGGAGAAACACUCUUCCAUUGCUGGUGGGAUUGCAAACUAAUAUAAGUACUCUGGAAAUCAACCCGAUGGUUCCUCAGAUAACUGGAAAUAGUUCUACCUGAAGAUCUCCUAUACUACUCCUGGGCAUAUACCCAAAAGAUGUUUCACCAUACCACAAGGACACUUGCUACACUAUUUUCAUAGCAGCCGUAUUCAUAAUAGUUGGAAACUGGAAACAACCCAGGUCUCCUCAAACAAAGAAUAGACACAGAAAAUAUAACUCAUUUACACAGUGGAAUAUUGUUCAGCUGUUAAAAUUGAGGACAUAAUUGAUUUUGCAAGUAGACAGAUGGAAAUUGAAAAUAUCACCCUUAGUGAGGUAACUGAUACCCAAAAGCACAUGCAUGGUAUGUACUUACUGAUAAGUGGAUAUUAGCCAACAUUACAGAAUACCUAUGAUACAAGACACAGACCAUAAGAAGUUUAACAAGAAGAGAAGGGCCAAGUGCAGACAAUUCUAUCCCACUUAGAAAGGGAGACAAAAUAAUCAUAGUAGGCAGAGGGAAGGAACUGUGUGGGAGACGAGAUGAAGGGAUAAAAGGGGCAGGAUCAGACACAGAGGCAGAAGACAAGAGAGAAGCCCGGAGAGCCAGGAGAAAUAUUCAGCAGUGGGGGUGUGAGGUAGGGAGGAACCUCUAGAAAGUCCCAGAGACUUAAGAUGUGAGAGGUUCCCAGGACUCAGUGGGGGGUGACCUUAGCCUAAAUGCCUAACAGUGGGGAGAUGGAACCUGAAGAGAUCAUUUCUAAUAGAUAGAACCCCCAGUUAAGUAUGGUAUCGGCAACCUACCUUCAAAAUUUUUGACCCAGCAUUCUUCCUAUCUAAAAGAAUUGCAGGAGCAAAAAUGAAGCAGACACCGAAGGAAAGGACAUCCAGUGACUGGCCCAACUUCGUGUCCAUCCCAAGGGUGGGCCUUAAACACUGAUACUAUUACUGAUGCUAGGUUGUGCUGGCAGACCAGAACCUAGUAUGGAUGUCAUCUGAGAGGCUCAACCAGCAGCUGACUAAGACGGAUGUAGAAACUUACAGCCAAUUGAUAAGAUUGAGGUCAAGAACUCCUAUGGAAGAGUUAGGGGAAGGAUUGAAAGAGUUGAAGGGGAUGGCAACCCCAUAGGAAGACAAAUGGUGACAACUAAUGCGGAGCAAUGGGAGCUCCCAGACAGUAGGCCACCAACCAAAGAGCAUAUACAUGGACUUCUCUGAGGCUCCUGGAAUAUAUCCACCAACAAAAUGCAUGUACAGGCUGGUCUGAGGCCCCUAAAAUAUAUGUAGCAGAGGAUUGCCUACUUGAAGGGACUUGAAGAGAAGUGGGAUGCCUGGGGAAGGGGGUGAAGGGGGAGAGGGGACACUCUCUUAUAGGUAAAGGGGGUUGAACAUGGGAAGGGAGACUGUGAUGGGGCACAAUAUAACAUUUGGGAUGUGUAUUACAUAAAUGAAUAAAUAGAACAAAAUUUUAA